UUUUAUUAUAGCAUUGGAUUCUAAUUAACACACACACAUAUAUAAGAACUUCCAGUUAGGGUUGCUGUUCCAAAGCUAUAAACACGAACGAGGAGGAUAAAGACCGUCCAGGCUUGCGACGGAGGAAGCAGUCCAUAAGAAUGUCUUCUGCGCACCAGCUAGCGAACCCUGCAUGCUAAGAGGAUGCCAAGACUAGAGGGUCAAUUAAUGCAAUUAGAGAGACCUGAAUCCCUUCUUUGUCUGGCAACCACGGCGGCAAAUCAUUCUUGGCUUUCUUCUUCCUCUUGCUUGUGGCUUGAACGGAGGGAAGAGACGGCGAAUGAAUCCGUGGUUGGCUUCUUCCGUCUGCCAACGCUUUGCUUGCAUUAUUGCUCUCCUUCUCUCACUUUUUUUCUUUUUCCUGUAGAAGCAGUUUGUGGAUAUAUUUUAGUCUUAUUAGCUCUGUAGUUUAGCAUAGAAACCGUCUUGUUUGACGAUUUCCGUUGGAUCUCUUGCAAUUCAACAUGGCAUUGUUUAUUUCAUUUGCUCGAGGUUUUCCGACCACAAUCGAUCCC
rnacentral:lncRNA from 1 species